rnacentral:tRNA from 1 species
GCAGGAGUAGCGAAGUGGUCAAACGCGUGAGACUCAAAAUCUCAUGGCUCAGUGCCUUCAGAGGUUCGAAUCCUCUCUCCUGCA